AACGCACCUUGCGCUCCUUGGUAUUCCGAGGAGCAUGCCUGUUUGAGUGUCAUGAAACCCUCAACCUCUGACUUUCUUAAUCGUCGGUCAGCGGCUUGGACUUGGGUGUCUGCCGGUCUUCAUUGAUCGGCUCACCUGAAAUAUAUUAGCGAAUCCCUUCUGUAAUCGGUUCCACUCGACGUGAUAAGUAUUUCGUCGAGGACAUCUUUAUUGAUGGCCGAGAUAAAGCUGGUUCUAGAUCUGCUUCUAACUCUUUCGUUGCCUUCUGGUAAAGAAAAACCCCUCAUGAUCUGGCCUCAAAUCAGGUAGGACUACCCGCUGAACUUAA
rnacentral:misc_RNA from 1 species